UACGGAGGGUGCAAGCGUUGUUCGGAAUUACUGGGCGUAAAGCGCGUGUAGGCGGCUUUUUAAGUCUGAUGUGAAAGCCCAGGGCUCACCCCUGGAAGUGCAUUGGAAACUGGAAGGCUUGAGUACCGGAGAGGAUGGUGGAAUUCCUGGUGUAGCGGUGAAAUGCGUAGAUAUCAGGAGGAACACCGGUGGCGAAGGCGGCCAUCUGGACGGAUACUGACGCUGAGACGCGAAAGCGUGGGGAGCAAACAGG
rnacentral:rRNA from 1 species